rnacentral:lncRNA from 1 species
AGGCACUGACCGUCUUCUGUUUGGGAGGAGAAGCUCACUCUUGGAGCCACAGCCAGCACUAGGUCAGGACCCAGGCCCCGGCCCAGGAGUGGGGCAAUACCCAGCGUCUACCCCAGAUGGCACCCUGCUGUGAACUGGGCGCCCUCAGCCCCUGCCUUGAGGAAGGGGCAAUACCACCAGCGUGUCUUUUAUCAGGGAAGAUAUUGCUGCAGUUUGGCCGCUGCAACUUAAGAGAAAAGCUAAGGGGUCCCCCAGCAUCCCUUGGGGUGCCACUGCAAAUACUGGCUGGGCCUGGAGAUGACCUGGGUCCCAUUCACUUCCUAGGGUGAAGGAGGUCAUCAUUACCACCCCUGCUUUCAGCCAUUUCUUCAUUCAUUCAAUCAACAAACUGGCUGAGCUGCAACCCUGAGCCGGGGAAUUCAGCCACUCCAGACACAGCCCCUGCCCUCCGGGAAGUCUCGGGAGACCUGGCUAGUCUGGCUGGGAGAAGUCACACGUUGAUUGUCUUGGAAGUGAGAUGGCAUUUACACAAUGGAGGCUGCACUGCCAGCAGGCAAAAAUAACCAGUUAAUUCAGUGGCUUAAAGAAACCAAACCUACCCACAACGCUUGACCUCCCAUUGAUCCAUCUGCGACACCGGCAGUGGCUACCAUUUAUUGAGUGCUGAUGGUGUCACCUGGGAUUGACUUAGUGGUCUCUGGCGCUAGUUCCGAAGUUGAUUCUGUCUGGAGAGCUUAAUGCAGUGUUCAGACCUCAGGGUCCGAACCUGAGGGUCACCCAAAGAUGAGUGGGACAUAGCUGUGUGACCUCGGCUGAGUGCUUUCACCUCUCCAACCUCAGUUUCCUCUUCUGCAAAAUGGGGUGGCUUCAUGGCACCUUCACGUGGUGUGAUUGCGAGGAAUGAAGGGAUCGAUGCCUUGCAAGUAGAGGAGAAGGGGCCGGAUACAUCUUAGUUGUUAUGUUAUUUAAUCAUCUUGGCAACCCCGGGAGGGAGGAACCACUAUCAUUUUAUUUUCCAUUUUGCAGUUGAGGACAAUGAUGAUUCCAGCACAGACAGGGCCCCUGACGGGGCAGUAGGAAAGGAGAAUUGCUUUGGAAGGAGCAUAGGCUGGACUGCCAGCACUCAUAGGAGGCUUCGUGUGUGCCCAGGACUGCGAGAAUUAAAUACAGGACACCCAGUUCAGUUUGAAUUUCAGAUAAACUAUGAAUAAUGAUUAGUUGUCUGGUCUAGGGACAAAUGCUGAGACGUCUGCAAGGCCAUCUAGAACGCCAGGAAGGCACUGUGGGAACCCAGAGGAACAGGGCACGACGGUGCCCAACAGUCCCAGGAAAACACUCUGUGCCCUUCACCUACAUCUCCAUGCCAGGGUUGGAGACAGGGUCCUGUCCCAUCUGCACAUGGAGCCCUCCGGACGGGUGAAUCUGUCGUCAGUUUGGGGCUUGGGAAUCGGUGUCCAAGAGCUGGCUUCAAAGGCAAUGAAACUGGCAUUGCAUCUUUGAAGGCAGCACAGGCUACAUCUGUCUUAUUCUCCGUGUCCACAGCCCCUAGCAGUGACUGGCAUGUGGUCACGCCCAAUAAAUAUUUGCUGAAUGAAUGAACGCAAAACAAUUUGCAAUGUGGACUAGUCCCUUAAAGUAUGUGUAUCUGCAACCGGUAAGUCUACCACAUAUCUUAAGGAAAUAAUCAGAGAAGUGAACAGUUUUAAGGAGAAGAACGUUGAUCCUAUCUUCAUUCGUAAAAGCAAAAGUGCAAUGAAAUUAAAAACAAAUAGAAGAUGCGUAAAUAAAAGGCAGUGAUCAUAAAACUGUUCAAAACCUUGUUUUCAAAAAUUAUCUGAUGAUAUAAAGUCCCAUAUAAACUAAAUUUAAAAAUAGGCUGCAGAACCGAUCUCAACUUUUUACAAAAAUAUUAUUAGAAAAAGGAUUA